rnacentral:lncRNA from 1 species
AAUCUAGUUUUUGGUACAUGGAUAGCUUUUGUUCAGAUGAUCAUGGUGGAGUUGUCUACAAGCAGAAUCCAGUUUUUGGUAUAAGAAUAUUUUUGUCUACAUAAUGGUUGUUUGGAUGAAUAGCAAGAUCAGAUAUUUUAGGAUUUUUAAUUUAUAUUUUGAUGUGUUUGGUGAUGAUUAUCACCUUAACAUAUGGUAUGGAUGAAACAUUAUGAUGUAUGGUUAAUAGGUAUGCUUGACUUUAGACUUAUAGAUGAUGAUAUUUAUAAUGAAUGAUUAUGGAUUCUCCAACAUUGUGUAUACUU